rnacentral:misc_RNA from 1 species
ACCAUCUUACUCUCAUUUUACAGCACUUGUUUGAGAUGACACAUAUUCAACAUUUGCUUGACAGGGUUCCUUUGGUUCAAAAGUAGAUUAAAAUAAUGAGUGUUGGACUAUCGGUGCAAGUAUAGAGGAGGAUAGCUUUGUGUUGUCCUUUACAUAAGUAUGAAAAUAGAACAAUCUUAGUUAAUGUGCACGCGAUCAUUCUCAUGUAUUAAAUUGUUAGGACUUGAAGUACAUG